rnacentral:rRNA from 1 species
UACGGAGGAUCCAAGCGUUAUCCGGAUUUAUUGGGUUUAAAGGGUGCGUAGGUGGACUCAUAAGUCAGCGGUGAAAGUUUGCAGCUUAACUGUAAAAUUGCCGUUGAAACUGCCGGUCUUGAGUGCAAAUGAGGUAAGCGGAAUGUGUUGUGUAGCGGUGAAAUGCUUAGAUAUGACACAGAACACCGAUUGCGAAGGCAGCACACUAAGUCAUUAUUGACGCUGAGGCACGAAAGUGUGGGGAUCAAACAGGAUUAGA